CUUUAGACGCCUGUAGACAGAACAGUGUUUUGUGUUUCAACUAGAAUUAACUGUUCUGUAUAAAAAGAAGAAGAAAAACAGUUGCAAUAUUGUAUUUAGCAGGAAUACGUGAAUUAAUGCUUCUAGAUAUACAAAACUGUAGUCCUGGCCAAUUUGAGGACCAUUUCAGUCAAAAAAGAAAAAUCAGAUGAGAUCUGUGCUAAGCCAGCCACCAUGAAGUGACUGUAAUGGCAGAGAUGAAGGCUGAGAGAGGGAGUUUUGUGAGUGACCUGUGCAUGCUGCUGAAAGCUUAAAAUGGCGCAGACGUGACUCUGGCACCCAGGGGCUCGGAGCAGUCAGCACAGUCACAUCUUGGCAGGGAGGAGCCCCGUCUUCGUGGCUAUGUUGUGUUUCUUGCAUGUCACUUCACAACAUAGCCGCGAACACGGGGCUUCUUGCUAGCAAUUCACAGAUUGAGAUGCAAGAAGCAUGCAGCAAAGGUAACUGACAUAAGAGAAGCUCCCUUACAGCAGUUGUGAAACAGCCCCUAACCAUACCGUAGCCUGCAUUAUAGGCCAGCAACACUGUGGACUGAAGUGUCCAAAAUAACAGCAAGUGUGUUACAUUGGGAUAUGGAGUAUCUUGCGUAGAUUAUUUUGCCAUCUCUUGACCCUGAAUAAAAGAACCAACUUGAGAUAAUAAAAAAAAAAACUACACAUCUUUCAUUAAUUGCAGCUAAAGGAUAAUUUGAAACGUAAUACACAAAACUAAAUAUCAUAAUGUCAAUCAGAUUCAUUUAGGACUACCGCAUUUACUCGAAUCUAAGCCGCACUUUUUUUCCAUUUUUUGUAAUCCAAAAAACCGCCUGCAGCUUAGAAUUGAGUGCAAAACAAGCGGAAGUUAUGAAAAAUUUUGGUAGGUGCCGCCACAACUAACUUCUGCCGUCGAAUAUAUGUAGCGCGACACAGGCAUGCUUUGUAAGCGCAAAGAUAAAUACUGGUGCCAAAACCUCUGCGUCAGUAAAUAAAUUUAAAAAUAAACGUGGAAGAAGAGCUUUUUUCUCUGCCCCGAGUUUCGACCACUGCAUUUUCAUACAUUAUCCAACGAACUAAAUACAAAUUCCAUAUUUUUCAUCUUUGAAUGUAGCAGAAUUUCAGUGUACUAUGAAAAUCCGUCUGGCGAGACUGUUUGGGAUGUUUGUCAAUAUGGCCAACUUUACAUUCUCAAUUUUUUCCUACCUCUGAGAAGAGAUGGUUGCUAAUAGGAACCUGAUGAAAUGUGAAUCACAUGCAGUAUUCUCUUCAACAUAAGAAUAAUACGUAUAUAAACAUUUUGCCAUGUAUUCUUUCGUGUUUGGUGCUAUCUCAUUUAAAUGCUGUCUGCCUAAUAAACUAAGAAACUUGAGUGAGGCAACAGCAAACGCGGAAGAAUAUACGUAUCAUGACAUGUUCAUAUUCGUAUUAUUCUUAUGCCUAAUAGUGAUACAGUCAGAAAUGAAGCACAGCAACUGACUAGAUUUUUAAAUCUAAGAUGACUCUGAUUUCUGUGCAGAAUGUGAUGUACUAAAGAAGCGGCUGCAAAGAUUUUCAAAUGGAGAAACAUUUUCGCCUAACUCUCGUUCAGAACAUGUUCUAUCAUACGCAGUCUAUUAUUUGGUUCUUGUUGAUCAUUAUCAAAGAAAGCAGCAGUGUAAGUAACAACAAAUAGCAGUCUGUGGCCAUUGUUUCACUAAUGAGACAAUUCCUCUCUCUCUCUCUCUCUCUCUCUCUCUCUCUCUCUCUCUCUCUUUUUUUUUGUGUGUGUGUGUGUGUGUGUGUGUGUGUGUGUGUGUAAGCGGUGUUAGCGCGCACAAAAGCAAGCCAUGCCGCGAGCGGCGACAGACCCUAAACACGCACUAUCAGAAUGCGACGAACAGUACAGUAAUGCAUUUUCUGCUUAGUGACGUAAGCACCUAGAACAAAGAAAACGGCACUUAUCAGAUGGAAGCAAAAUAAGCAAUCAAUUCAAACCAGACGAAGCACGUGAAAAAGGAAGGGUACCCGUAUAAAUACGGACGGAGCGCCUGACACAUAGCAAUGGCUACCUGGUAAAGCUUAACUGCUAAGCUUACGACUCGAAGCAAACUACUGUAGCUGUAUCGUCAUACAUUCGACCUAAAUUGUGUCUCAUAUUAUAAUGGACCAACAUUGUUUUGAUUUGGAGGUGCGGCCUAAAACUUUUCUCUCCCCUUGAAUUUCGAGUCUCAAAUUUCAGGUGCAGCUUAGAUUCGAGUAAAUACAGUAAUAAUUCUUUUUCGUAUUUCCCUUUGUGAUAUCAUACACCGAAGAGCCAAAGAAAUUGGGACACCUGCUUAAUAUCUUUUAGGGCCCUCGAGAGCAUGUAAAUGCGCUGCAGUGUGACAUGGCGUGGACUACACUAACAUCUGUAGUAGUGCUCGACAGAACUGACACCACAAAUGUUCCAUGGCUGUCCAUAAAUCCAUAAGAGUGUAAGGGGUGGAGAUCUCUUCUGAAUAGCACAUUGCAAGGCAUCCCAGAUAUGCUCAAUAAUGUUCAUCUCUGAGAAGUUUGAUGGCCAGCAGAAGUGUUUAAACUCAGAAGAUUGUUCCUGGAGCCACUCCAGCAAUUCUGGUCGUGUGGGGUGUCACAUUGUACUGCUAAAACUGUUCAAGUCUGUUGGAAUGCACAGUAGACACAAAUGGAUGCAGGUAAUCAGACAGGAUGCUUGCUUACAUGUCACCUGUCAGGAUUGUAUUUAGACGCACCGGGGGUCCCACAUCACUAAAACUGCACAUGCCCCACACCAUUAGAGAGCCUCCAUCAGCUUGAACAGUCCCCUGCUGACAUGCAGGGUCCAUGGAUUCAUGAGGUUGUUUCCAUACCCAUACAAGUCCAUCAGCUUGAUAUGAUUUGAAACCAGACUCCUCCAACUGGGCAACUUGUUUCCAGUCAUAAAGUCUGAUGUCAGUGUUGUUGGGCCCAGGCGAACAUGAAGCUUUGUUGAGGGCCCAGCAUUGAAAUCUGCAACAAUUUGUGGAAGGGUUGCACUUCAGUCACCUUGAAUGAUUUUCUUCAGUUGUCUUUGGUCCCAUUCUUGCAGGAUGUUAUUCCAGCCACAGAGAUAUCAGAGAUUUGAUGUUGUACCGAAUCCCUGAUAUUCACAGUAUACGCAUGAAAUGGUCAUAUGGGAAAAUCUCCGAUUCAUCUCGGUGACGCUGUCCCAUCGGUCGUCCCCAGACUAUAACACAAUGUUCAAACUCAAUUAAAUCUUGAUAACCUGUCAUUGUAGCAGCAGUAACAGAUCUAACAACUGCACCAGACACUUGUUGCCUUAAAUAGGCAUUGCUGACUGUAGCGUCGUAAUCUACCUGUUUACAUAUCUCUGUAUUUGAAUACACAUGCCUAUUCAAGUUUCUUUGGUGCUUCAGUGUACAUCUAGCAACAGCGAAAUCCAAAAGCGUCAAUGGAGAGCUUACUAAGAGUGUAGUACUCCUGCUCGUUAACAAACAAAAUUACUCAGAGGUACUGUAAUAUGUUAAUUCGUCUUAAAGUUUAAUUGAUGUUGGUCAACUUCACCAUGAGCAAAGUAAAGUUGCCCGGUCAUUACAAGAGCGAAGCUGUGUGCAGGUGUAGAUAUACCUGCAGUUGCAGUGAGUGAGAAAUGUUUUCUGUGCUGACAACUCAUAGGCAAGUAUGCCUCAUACGGAUCAGCUGCUAUUGUAUAAAUUUGAAACAGAAGUAACAUGACUUCGGCAUUGUGCAUUACAGAGGCAGUCCCCUUCAAAUGUGAUACAUGUAGCAAGGAAUAUGAAAUUAAAUUGACACUAUUCUGAUACAUUCUGUUUUUUUGUUUUUUUUUUUCUAAAUCUUUAUUAUCUCUAUAUGCAAUAUCGUGUUUUUUUUGCAAGCGCCAUUUAGAGGAUUUAUUCCUUGAACACCUUCAGCUAAUCUUCCCUCUGAUUUUGUUCCUGGGCCACAACAAUUAUGACCAUAGGGAUUCAUUUCGAAUGAUAAUUUAUUAAUAAAAGUAUUAACUAAUACUUUUCCAUAUUAUCCUUUUUCUAAAAUGUAUGUGACAAGUUACUCAAAAAUGUAAUCAAAUAUGGAAUUCCUUUUGGAUUGUUAAUAAUAAAAACACUAAAUCUAUUUUUAACAUCUGUGUUAUUCCCGCAAAUAACUGGUGACCUAUCAAUUAAAUCUCUAUCAUUCAUCCAAACAUAUUCAGAUGGUUUUACUGUAUAUUUUUUUAUGAAAUCUUCACCUAGUUUUUCAUUUUCUUGUGAAGACUCUGUAUUUGAUUGUAAUCAUCUUAAAUUUGGGAAGAGGUCAUAAACACUUUCUUGUAUCAGCUCACUAUAUUUAAUAGCUUUACUUAAUUUUAUUUUAUUUGUAUUCCUUUCAGAAUAUAAUGCUCUUCAAUGGUACAAAAUAUCUGCAUAAUAUGAUAAAUGAACACCGUCAAAUUUUUUACCCAUAUC